UACGAAGGGGCUAGCGUUGUUCGGAAUCACUGGGCGUAAAGGGCGCGUAGGCGGCUUUAUAAGUCGGGGUGAAAGCCUGUGGCUCAACCACAGAAUUGCCUUCGAUACUGUAGAGCUUGAGACCGGAAGAGGUAAGUGGAACUGCGAGUGUAGAGGUGAAAUUCGUAGAUAUUCGCAAGAACACCAGUGGCGAAGGCGGCUUACUGGUCCGGUUUCUGACGCUGAGGCGGCGAAAGCGUGGGGAGCAAACAGG
rnacentral:rRNA from 1 species